UGCCAGUCGAACGGAAACAUGUCUAGCUUGCUAGAUGAUGUCGAGUGGCGGACGGGUGAGUAAUGCUUGGGAACUUGCCUUUGCGAGGGGGAUAACAGUUGGAAACGACUGCUAAUACCGCAUAAUGUCUUCGGACCAAACGGGGCUUCGGCUCCGGCGCAAAGAGAGGCCCAAGUGAGAUUAGCUAGUUGGUGAGGUAAAGGCUCACCAAGGCAACGAUCUCUAGCUGUUCUGAGAGGAAGAUCAGCCACACUGGGACUGAGACACGGCCCAGACUCCUACGGGAGGCAGCAGUGGGGAAUAUUGCACAAUGGGGGAAACCCUGAUGCAGCCAUGCCGCGUGUGUGAAGAAGGCCUUCGGGUUGUAAAGCACUUUCAGUUGUGAGGAAAAGUUAGUAGUUAAUACCUGCUAGCCGUGACGUUAACAACAGAAGAAGCACCGGCUAACUCCGUGCCAGCAGCCGCGGUAAUACGGAGGGUGCGAGCGUUAAUCGGAAUUACUGGGCGUAAAGCGCACGCAGGCGGUUUGUUAAGCUAGAUGUGAAAGCCCCGGGCUCAACCUGGGACGGUCAUUUAGAACUGGCAGACUAGAGUCUUGGAGAGGGGAGUGGAAUUCCAGGUGUAGCGGUGAAAUGCGUAGAUAUCUGGAGGAACAUCAGUGGCGAAGGCGACUCCCUGGCCAAAGACUGACGCUCAUGUGCGAAAGUGUGGGUAGCGAACAGGAUUAGAUACCCUGGUAGUCCACACCGUAAACGCUGUCUACUAGCUGUUUGUGACUUUAAGUCGUGAGUAGCGAAGCUAACGCGAUAAGUAGACCGCCUGGGGAGUACGGCCGCAAGGUUAAAACUCAAAUGAAUUGACGGGGGCCCGCACAAGCGGUGGAGCAUGUGGUUUAAUUCGAUGCAACGCGAAGAACCUUACCUACACUUGACAUGUUGAGAAGUACCAGAGAUGGUUUCGUGCCUUCGGA
rnacentral:rRNA from 1 species